UACGUAGGCAGCAAGCGUUGUUCGGAAUUACUGGGCGUAAAGAGUGUGUAGGCGGUGCUCUAAGUCUGUUGUGAAAUCUCCCGGCUUAACCGGGAGGGUGCGGCGGAAACUGGAGUGCUUGAGGGUGGGAGAGGUAAGCGGAAUUCCUGGUGUAGCGGUGAAAUGCGCAGAUAUCAGGAAGAACACCAAUGGCGAAAGCAGCUCUCUGGGACGGUACUGACGCUGAGACGCGAAAGCGUGGGGAGCGAACAGG
rnacentral:rRNA from 1 species